UACAGAGGGUGCAAGCGUUGCUCGGAAUUAUUGGGCGUAAAGGGCAGGUAGGUGGUCUCAUUUGUCAGGGGUGAAAGCCCUGGGCUUAACCCAGGAAGUACCCUUGAAACGGUGGGACUGGAGUACUGGAGAGGGUUGUGGAAUUCCCGGUGUAGCGGUGAAAUGCGUAGAGAUCGGGAGGAACAUCUGAGGCGAAGGCGGCGACCUGGACAGUGACUGACACUCAACUGCGAAAGCGUGGGGAUCAAACAGG
rnacentral:rRNA from 1 species